rnacentral:rRNA from 1 species
GACACGAUAAUGUUGGUGGGUGGUGGGUGGCCCACACAGCGUGCGUGGCAGGUAGGGACUUUGUAGCGGUGCAGGGCGGUGCGGGGGUUUACAGGCACCGGUAGCCGCCGCCGCAGCUGGGGGCACAGGUUACGGGUUCGGGGUGGUUCGGAGCGGUCGCGGCGGCUGCGGCGAGGGCGAGGGCGAGAGGUAGGAGGGCGGCGCCUCGACGGGCGAGCGGUGGCGCGACGACCGCGACGAGAGCGACGAGGAGCGGUGGCGCGACACCGAGCACGAGCACGACAGGGGCCGGGUCCGGGGGCACCGCAGGAGGAGGAGGCGCGACAGGAUGCGCCGCCGCCGCCUACUCCGCGAGAGACGGCCGCUGCGCCGGAGGGGCGAGAGCGAGCGGGUGUAGCAGAAGCCCUAGCGCCCGAGCCGCGUGGAGACCGGCGCAGCGGCGCUCAUGUAGGCGGAGACCACCCUAGGGCGGAGAUACGCGCCGGUGCAGACCGAGCUGCGGUCGCGCGGGCCGCGCGGCCCCGGGUCGCGACGGCCCCUCCUGAGCGAGGGCGGCUAGGCCCACAGGCUCCUGUGGAGCGCGAAGGCCAUGUGGUUGGGCUGCCCGGUGGGAAGGCCCGAGGCCUAGCGCGCGUAGCGACGGCUCCGGCACGCCGAGCACCCCCCACCCCCGCGCGCCACCCACCACGAGCACCUGCUGCUGUGGCACGACAGGGGCCUGUUGGACCACCGCCACGAGCCCUUCAUGCUGACCUCCCUCUACCACAUGCAGCCCCGGGGCAGCCUCUCGGUGAGCCGGUUGUGGAUAAAGUCGGUGCCGUACCGCAAGCCUCCGCCUCCGCAGCGCGAGUCGAAGGGGGAGCGGCGACGCGAGCGCGCCUGUGAGCUGCACACGUAGCUCUCCAUGGGGUCCGACAUACCUUCGCUGCUGGCGGAGGUACGAACAUAGUGCCUCGAACCGCACGGAGAAAGGGCGCUUAUACCUAAGGUAGUCACCCUAUAGUCUCCGUUACGGGUACCAUAUAACCGACGAGUAGGUUAGCGAGGAAAGUAGUCAUAGGUGGUACACCUCAAACACCUAGGAUAUAUAGGACCUAACUUGAGAGAACUCUCGAACCUCGAAAAAUGCUUCCGGUACUUUUGUCUUGGGUACUCGAAGAACGUCGCGAGUCAAACAAUACUAUUCUCCGUCUUCGAAUGUGAACGGUAGAGAAACCCAAUACAACAAGUUCACAUGGGGUCACAAGAAGAGGGAGGACUUAACCUCGCUAGGCUCGCCUGAAUGUAGCGAAAAUUAUCCUACUCGGUCUCUUGACUUAAACUAAAACUGUGGUUCCUUUAAGUCUUCAGAUACACGUUCUCCGGUCAGAAUAAAAAGAACUUCCUACAAACCUUCCUACCCUUGUAUUGAUCUCCGAGAAUGUAUUCCAGUUCACUUGCCCUACUGGAGUUUUCCUUCCACAAAACGAAAUCCAGUGGAGGAAACAGACCCUAUCUACUCUAAGUUCAAAGACGCAGGGGUAAUUCGUUUUCUACCGUAGACCGUGGUUCUUCCAAUACGUCACGACACUUUCUUAGAUAAUUACCUUGAUACAAAUACAAACAAGCCGUUACACCCGCGUCUCGUAAGCCGAGGCGAAGACUAAGAGAACUAACUACCUCUUGUCUCUACAUAUAAAAGACAGGUCUACUAUGGACGUUCCACAUCAAUGGUAGGAUGUAAGAAACCUAGUUCACAAGACCCCCGAGAAAAAGACGGAGUUCGUGAACCGUCAUUAACCUCCGAACAAUAUGAACUAUCAACAACUUCCAUCAAAGACAUAGAAGAGGCUCAUUCAUGUUACCCUUUAUCUAAGAAUCACAAUUAACACUGUUCAGAGUAAAAACGAUUUAGUAUUCUGUGAAUUCCCAUUUUAACCCUAAAAAAAAAGUCCAAUCAUAAUGCGGAACGAGCCGGUACUAACUAGACAGUACAUACGUUACGUUCGAAAAAUUACAAAGAACUGGUAAACAACGGAUAUGUAAAACAGUUCACGUUAUUUAUCUAUUUGACUUGGUAGUACUACGUACAGGACCAUGAACAUUGUGG